UGUGCAUGGCUCUUCUGGAGGAAG
rnacentral:misc_RNA from 1 species